rnacentral:lncRNA from 1 species
UGUUGAAGGGAAACCUUUGUGCUUGAACAAUAAUCUAGUCGUUAGUCUGUCUGACUUGUAUUUACUUGAAUAUGAAGUCUUGGAAUGUCCAAUGUAGCUGUAGUACCGGGGACUAGUCUUAUCAAGUGAUCAAGAGACUUCUGAUCACUUGACUAGACUAAGGGAAUAUGCAUAUGUCAAAGGAUUUAGUUGAUCAAAGAAGACUUUGAUCAACUUAAUCAAAAAGGGGAAAAUUCAAUUGUAACUCAAACACCUAAAUUCUAAGGAAAAUCAAAGUAACAACAGGUUUCAAUGUCUAAAGUUAACCUAAA